GGGUGGGGUGGGGGGUUUUCCACUAGUUGCCACUCGGCUCCAUUCUCUUAAGUCAGCCUCCAAUUUUGCCGUCGCACCAGCAGUCGCCAUUUCUAGAGCUCGAUUGAGCUUGAUUUCUACGGCCUCCUUGUAUCACAUUUCUGAUUCCUUACGAGGCGCUUGGUUACGAAGUCUGUGCUGCGCGGGUUUGUAGUGGUAUAAUUAGGACCUCGGAGGGAAGAUUUCUUAUAAAUUUUGGUGACUUGUAGGGUUUGGUUGGGUUGUAGGAAAUUUAGGUUUGUGAUUGACGUGUUAUUGGUAUUGUCGAGUUUGGAAGCAUCAUUGAUUGAUAGUAUUCUUUUUUCUGAAAGAUGUCGCCUAGACCUAAUGGCCCCGACGAGGUUCGCAAGAAAGAAUACAAGCGUGCUGUGGACGGCGAUGAGGCGCGAAGGAAGCGUGAGGACAGCACAUUGGAAAUCCAGAAGUCUAGGAAGGAUGAAAGCUUGUCCAGGAAGCGGAGGGAUGGUAUGCCUAUGCAGAAUUCUACCAAAGAGAAAAAGGGCGGGUCUACCGAUGUUUUACCUGUUACUUCUGCAUCGCCCAGCGAGGCUACAGGCGCAGAGGGCGAAUCAGGGAGUGCAGAUAUGCGAGUCCUGUCAACUUCUCAUAAGAGGGAUGAAAAAAGUGCUGGUGCUGAUUCUGCAACUUUAUCAGAAGCAAAUCAUGUGAAACCUCCAACCUUGAGUCUUGACGCCCUUGCUAAAGCCAAGAGAGCAUUGCAAAUGCAGAAGGAGCUCGCUGAGAAGAUGAAGAAACUUCCUCAGCUGAACAAGGCAGGAUCUGCAACCAUGACCACGUCCACUACUGCUCCCCUACUUUCGGCUGUAGCAAGCUUGGGAGGGAUAACACCAGCACCAGGAGCGCAAACGGCACCGUCUCAGACCAACCAAGUAGUCAUGCCUGUACCGGGAGUAGUUCCUCCAAAUAUGAUAGGGAUGAUGCCUGGAAUGAUACCAGGGAUGCCCGCUAUUGGGACCCCAAAUGUAGGGGCGUUGGCCAAUUAUGAGGCUAUAAAAAGAGCUCAUGAAUUAGCAAUGCGUUUGGGAUUCCAUCAAAUCCCCUUUGGUAUGCCUUUAAUGCCCACAAUGAUGCCUACCAAUUUCGCCGAGGAUGGAGGUUCAAAAUCCGUCAAGGCUCCUGUUCUUCGUCUGGAUGCACAGGGCAGAGAGAUUGACGAGCAUGGUAAUGUUGUAGAGCGUUCCAAGGUUACCAACGUCAGCACAUUGAAGGUUAAUAUCAACAAGCAAAAGAAAGAAGCAUUUCAAAUUUUACAUCCGGAAUUGGAGGAAGAUCCUGUUGAUAAUCCCUUCUUUGAUGAGCGUGUUGCAUUGGACAAGAAGAAACUGGUUCGACCAAGAAGGCCCACUUUUCAGUUUGUGGAGGAAGGAAAAUGGAGCAAACAAGCUGAGAUGCAAAAGCUUCGUGCUCAAUACGGUGAGGCAAAAGCUAAGGAGAUGAAAGCAAAGCAAGCUGCUUUGUCCAAGGCGAAGGCAGAGGCUGAUAUCAAUCCUAAUCUCAUUGAGGUUUCAGAGAGAGUUCCAGUUAAAGAAGAAAAGGUCAAGGAUCCUAUUCCUGAGAUUGAGUGGUGGGAUAAAGUGUUUCUUCCAUCACGCAAUUACAAGGAUAUUGACGAGGGGAUAGUGAAGGAGGAGAAGGUUACUUUGUUUGUUGAGCAUCCUGUACCUAUUGAGCCACCUGCUGAACCAGCCCCCCCUCCCCCUCAGCCUUUGAAACUUACCAAAAAAGAACAGAAGAAAUUGCGAACUCAGCGUCGUCUUGCUAAGGAGAAAGACAGGCAGGAGAUGAUCAGGCAGGGUCUACUGGAGCCUCCAAAAUCUAAGGUCAAAAUGAGUAACUUGAUGAAAGUUUUGGGCGCUGAGGCUACACAGGAUCCAACACGAAUGGAGCAUGAAAUCAGGAGUGCUGCUGCUGAACGUGAGCAAGCUCAUACAGACAGGAAUCUUGCUCGUAAGCUGACACCGGCAGAGCGGAAAGAGAAGAAAGCCAAAAAGCUCUUCGACGAUGCGAAUACCCUUGAAACACUUGUAUCUGUUUAUCGUGUAUUGGACCUUUCCCACCCACCAACGCGCUACAAGGUGGACAAGAAUGCCACUCAAAACCGUCUUACUGGCUGUAUUGUUAUCUCAGACACUAUGUGUGUAGUUAUCGUGGAAGGUGGUCCUAAGUCCAUCAAGCGUUAUAACAAACUUAUGACACGAAGAAUAAAUUGGGAAACAGCCGUAAAGGAAGAAGAUGAAGAAGAUGCAGAAGAUGCACCUCGUCCAACAAAUAAAUGUGAGUUGGUUUGGCAGGGGAGUGUCGCUCGUCCCAAUUUCGACAGAUUCAACGUAGAGCAGUUCCGAUCAGCUGCAGCUGCCCGGAAAUAUCUCUCAGAUGCCAACGUUGGACAUUACUGGGACUUGGCAGUGAAUUAUAAAGCCGAAGAGUGACAUCGUACCACACCAUAUUUACCUGAGGCUGAUAGCACGGUCAAAUAUGUUACUAGGGCUCAAAACGAAACUAUUAAAAGAGGAUUCAUCAAAAGAUUCUCAAUUAUGCAAUAUUUGGGACAUUUCGAGCUUAUUUUAUGCAACGAACUUUGGUGGCAUUUGCAUGAAGAGAAUGGUGUUUGGUUGGAAGAAUGCCUGAUAUAUGGGAAGUAACAAGAGAGAGAGCAUGUUUCUCUGUUUACAUAUAUUCAGUUUUAUCUGCUGAUGAUGACGGCAAUGUGCAUGGAUUCCGGGUAUGGCCCCCUCCUAUGUACCUCUGGGGAGAACCACUUCAAGCACUACAUUUGCAUAUCAGGGGUGUCAUACAGCCAGGCAAAUCAUAUGAUAUUGUAAGCCUUGAAAUUAUUAUAGCGGAUCUGGAUCUCCAGCUUGAGUAUGCGUUUACAGAAAUGGACUUGAGCGUUCUUGGGGUUGGUUACCUGGAUUUGAUUCGUAAGCAGGCCUUGCCGUCGUAAUCCCAGCUGGCUUCACCUCUACAACUAUCUGCAAAUUGGUGUGUUGCUGGCACUCUUUGAAGAAGUUUGUCGCCUUGAUCUCGCUUAACUCUUCUGUGAUUUAUAUCACUGAGGUAUGUAUUCUCAAACUAUUUUUUUGAUUCAGGUGUUCAUAUUCUGCUUCAUGUCGUCCGCUAAAUUUUUUAAUUUUGGUGUCCCAAUGCGGGGUGUGCUUGCUUUGUUCAAAAUUCCCAUGUCUUUGUGUACAAGUGAAUUGUUUUUGGUGGUAUUUACUCUUCUGAUGUAGCUCUAGGUAUGAGUUUUUUACAAGGUCUUCUUUAGAGUGAAUUGUAGUUAAUUAUCUUCAUAAUUUUGAGUGGACCUCCAAAUCAGCCACUCGAUUACCGAAACAUCGCUACAUUGUCGAUGCACGGAAAGUGGCGUUUCGUCUGCUGUAUUGUUCGAUAUUUGCUUAUUCUUGUUAUAAAUUGUGGUUACUGACAAGAUCUCAGCUGGAAUGCUUGUUAUAUAUUCAAACCUGCAUGUGCGAAGUAUUUUGGAAUCGUAUUUUUGGAAGUACUACGGUGUUUCUGCAAGUAAUCGAGUGAGAACUUAGGCUUUUGAUCCUGCAAUUCAGUUGUGAACAGAUUCACUUCAGGUGAUCUCCAAGGAUAUGGUUUGCUACCCUGUGUGGUGGACUGGAGCUUUUGCUUCUGUAUUAUGUGUGCCUCUGCAAUUUCAGUCUCAACUUUGGAGUCCACUUCCAACUUUUAUGUUAACUAACCUGGGGGUCGCUGACAUUACUAUCUUGUAGAACUUUUAGCUCUUGUUAGUGAGGCGGUUCACUUAGUUUGUAGAGUAAUCCCGUGUGUUUUAUCUGCCUCACAUGUCACUGCAAUCCGCUAUUUUCACCAACUGUAUUCCUCACCACCCCCUAGAAGCUCUAGGAUGUCGAAUGGUCAGCACUGUUUGCAAGCUCUGCGUGAAGAAGCCUAGUGUCAUUGACACGCAAAGAACCGCAAAAUGAAUCGUCCAAAACAUUGGGUGACACAAGCAGAAGAAUUUAAACCAAUAACACAAGUAUUCGUAUUCGUCAAGCGUGAACACUUCAUAUAUAACCUUUUUAUUUAUUUAUUUAUUUAUUUACUUAUCUUCCCUGCCGCCUCAAUCGUUGUUAGCGGGCGGCAGGGUGCGGGUGUUGUACAAGUGUGUUAUAGAGUGGAAGCCCACAGGGAGAAGCGUGAAUUAGGGGGAUCAAAAAUCAGUGAUUGGUGUUUGGAACGGAGAGGGGUAAGGAGGCGGGAAUGAAGUUCAACCGUUGUAGCAGCGAUUAUGGCGGUUAGAGGGAACGUACCCAUUUUCGGGACCCUUGUUGUAGCUUUUGGAAUCGUCAGUCCUGUGUGCUUCCAGACGAUCAAGGGGAUUAAGCCCUAAUCCAUGGUGGCCAAGAACUAAAUGAUCAUCAUGAGGCAAGUCUGCGAGAUUCUUUUUUUUCCAAGUGGCAAAGCUCUUGCCCAUAAUUAAACGAAAUGAGUGAUUUCUUGAGCACUGAUGUCCAGGGGGGUAUGAUCGAUACACAUCUUUCCAGAGUACUGCGCACUUACUGGGACACUACAAUGUAUUGAGGCUUUGGAGCUGUAGAGCUUUUGACCUUUGGAACAUGGUAGAUUCUGUUCGACUUCGUCAUCGCACGAACACAGCAUUCCUGGAUUCUGUUCUGCACGCAUGAAACCUUUCUUGACUGUGUUCAUCACAUACUCCUUAAAGAUAACAGUCAUCGUAAAGCAUGGACUCAUAAGUAUCUUGACGCCUGUAUUUCUCGACAUGAGUAGAACAAAAGUUACUGAAGAGAUGUUCUUUGAUCCUUCUUUCCAGUUCGUUAAAUUAGCUUUCUGGUUCCCUUCAUUCUUGGAGCUGAUGGACGCAACUAAAAAGACUUAACAGCAAGCGAGAUAAAAAAGAGAGAUAGUGAAAUUUCAAAUUGAAAGAUCUGAAGCUCAAGAAGUAGCAAUUGUUCACUUCAUGCAGGCACGAAACAGAGAAGUGUGAAAUCGGGAAGGACAGUGAGGUUAGAGCUUUGCAACGGAUGCUUGAAGCAAAACACAUUCAGUUCACGAGAAAUGAAAGCCACAAUUGAACGGUUCAAAUUUGAUAGCAAGUAAGUCGACGCGAAGCUGGUAGUAAAAUAGACAGGAAGGGACAAGUCGUUGCAAGAAGACCAUGAUUCAUUCUUCAAAACCAGGUAUAUAGGUGAGAAACCUCCUGUUGAUUCCGAAUCGCUAAAUUUGCUAAGAGAAGACACAUGAUGCCAAUAUCGUUGUUGAGAGUUAUGUAUAUGGCAGGAGAAAUCUGGCUAUGAUCAUUCACAGAAACGUAGCAGCGGGAUUACACUUGCCAAUGGGCCGAUUCAAAUUGUUGCUCUCAACUCCGAAUGGAUUUGAACUGAGUGGCCCAACAGCGUAUAUGUAACAAGAAUGCGAUGGGUGAGGCAGAGAUCGAAGUGGCCAAGGCCAACGUUGACUCAGAGGUCAGCAGAAGAAGUACGACUUACCUUUGGAGGAAUACCCUUGUAGCUACUGACGUGGCUGGCGUGGAUGAUGACGAUAACGAGGUGGAAGAUGAAAUGAAACUGGCUGCUUCAAAAGCAGAAGUUGGUAUCAACAACACUCUUGCACAAUUUCUUCUUCCUCUUCGUGGAGUGCGACUUCAGUACUGUAGGGUACAAAGUUAGUCAUCAUUUUUAUAGAAAGACGUAUCGGCUUUCACCAGUGGAAAAUUUCCGUUGACCAAAGCUAGCAUGCCUUGUGUGAAUCUCAAACAGGGUCAGGAAAUGGCAGAGUAAAUGAUUUGUUCAUGA